GUGUUUUGCUAGUGCGUUUGAACCCUUACGUCAAACAAGACCGAAAAUGUCGAGGAAGCAUUUUUCAUCUAUCUUCAAAUCUUAAAUUAAACAAUGUUCCUUUCAAUUUUUGAGUCAAAAUAAAAACUGACGCGUUCAGGAUGAUUAACUUCAUCGUUCCCUGAAAUAAAAUCGAAUAUCGGUUCUUCAUUUUAGGACCCAAUUCAAAAAAAUGAAAUUGAAAACAAAAAAACUUUUGCUCAUUAUUUUACUCGGAUUAAUUUUAGCGUGUACAGUUUUGUUUUUAAUUAGUGAAGAGAUGAAAAUAAUGAAACUGUAUGGUGCAGAAAGUGUUCUUUCAUUACAGUUUCUGGUGCUGGGCAACGGUAGAUCACUAUGGCUUCUGUACCGUGAAAUAAAGCUUAUGAUGAUGUUCACUGAUUCAAGAUCGUUCAGUGGCUAUCAUUGGCCAAUCUCACCAACGGGAUAUAAUAAGAACUGAUGCAGGUUUAUAGCUAUAUGUACUUGUGUGUUCAAUAAUAUCUUCGAUCCACCCAUGCAAGGGAAAAUAAGUCAUAGGAGAUACAUCAAAUUCCCUUCUCUAGUAGCAGCAGUUCGGCGUGUUUGGCGAGUAUAGCGGGCUGCGUCAUUGCCGACUUUCAGCGUUUAUGCACCCGUGGCCAAGUAACAGCAAAGCGAGGUAAAAUGAGUGUAAAUUAAGUUUGAACUGAAUUAAAAUAAAAUUAAAAAUAAAAUAAUUUGUAAAACAAUUAA